CCAUCUCUCCUGUCCUGUGUGGAUUUGAUCGCCCUAAGGAAUCGAGUGCUGAAAAGGAAUUAAAUAGCGCAGUGAAUAUGAUAGCCCUCGAGCCUAUACAGUGUCAGAACGCACCGCAGUGAAAUUGUAUAGCUCAGUCAACAGCAAGUAAACGCACCGUGAUAUCCUGGUCCCUAGACAAGAGUGGAAACAAGAUCCAAGCGCUGCCGGUGCUGCUGACGUUCUGAUGCUUUUAACUUCCUCAUCUCUGAUCAGACCGGAUUAAAGGUCGGAGCCCUCCAGAUCAGAUACGCAAGACUUCAAAUUUUGCCGGAUGCAGGAUCAUGACGCAUCAAUCUCAACAGAGC